rnacentral:tRNA from 1 species
GCCGCUCAGCGGCCUGAUCACGGCAGGGGAGCGGUUCCCCUUAAAAGGGUUCCAGUGUGGGUUCGAAUCCCACCGGGGGCA